AAUACGAAGGGACCUAGCGUAGUUCGGAAUUACUGGGCUUAAAGAGUUCGUAGGUGGCUAAGAAAGUUGAUGGUGAAAUCCCAGAGCUUAACUCUGGAACUGCCAUCAAAACUUCUUAGCUAGAGUAUGAUAGAGGAAAGUAGAAUUUCUAGUGUAGAGGUGAAAUUCGUAGAUAUUAGAAAGAAUACCAAUUGCGAAGGCAGCUUUCUGGAUCAUUACUGACACUGAGGAACGAAAGCAUGGGUAGCGAAGAGGAUUAGAUACCCUCGUAGUCCAUGCCGUAAACGAUGUGUGCUAGACGUUGGAAAUUUAUUUUCAGUGUCGCAGCGAAAGCGUUAAGCACACCGCCUGGGGAGUACGACCGCAAGGUUAAAACUCAAAUGAAUUGACGGGGACCCGCACAAGCAGUGGAGCAUGUGGUUUAAUUCGAAGAUACGCGCAGAACCUUACCAACACUUGACAUGUUCGUCGCGACUUUAAGAGAUUAAAGUCUUCGGUUCGGCCGGACGAAACACAGGUGCUGCAUGGCUGUCGUCAGCUCGUGUCGUGAGAUGUUGGGUUAAGUCCCGCAACGAGCGCAACCCUUACUUUUAGUUGCCACCAUUUAGUUGAGCACUCUGAAAGAACUGCCAGUGAUAAGCUGGAGGAAGGUGGGGAUGACGUCAAGUCCUCAUGGCCCUUACGUGUUGGGCUACACACGUGCUACAAUGGCAAUCACAAUAGGAAGCAAAGAGGCGACUCUAAGCAAAUCCUAAAAAAUUGCCUCAGUUCGGAUUGUACUCUGCAACUCGAGUACAUGAAGCUGGAAUUGCUAGUAAUCGCGGAUCAGCGUGCCGCGGUGAAUACGUUCCCGGGUCUUGCACACACCGCCCGUC
rnacentral:rRNA from 1 species